CACGUAGGGCGCAAGCGUUGUCCGGAAUUACUGGGUGUAAAGGGUUCGUAGGCGGUGCGGCAAGUUGGGAGUGAAAUCUCUGGGCUUAACCCAGAGGCUGCUUCCAAAACUGCUGUGCUUGAGUGUGGGAGAGGCGCGUGGAAUUGCAGGUGUAGCGGUGAAAUGCGUAGAUAUCUGCAGGAACACCCGUGGCGAAAGCGGCGCGCUGGACCACUACCGACGCUGAGGAACGAAAGCUAGGGGAGCAAACAGG
rnacentral:rRNA from 1 species